GGGGGGGGGCAAGCGUUUAUUCGGAAUUAUUGGGCGUAAAGGGCGCGUAGGCGGCUUGGUAGGUCAAAGGUGAAAUCCCUCAGCUCAACUGAGGAACUGCCUUUGAAACCACCUGGCUAGAGACUGGGAGGGGGGUAGCGGAAUUCCAGGUGUAGCGGUGAAAUGCGUAGAUAUCUGGAGGAACACCGGUGGCGAAGGCGGCUACCUGGACCAGUUCUGACGCUGAGGCGCGAAAGCGUGGGGAGCAAACAGGAUUAGAUACCCUGGGUAGUCCACGCUGUAAACCGAUGGGCACUCGGUGCCCGCGGGUGUUGACCCCCCCGUGCGGUGCCUUAGCUAACGCGUUAAGUGCCCCGCCUGGGGAGUACGGUCGCAAGGCUG
rnacentral:rRNA from 1 species